GACGAACGCUGGCGGCGUGCCUAAUACAUGCAAGUCGAACGCUUCUUUCCUCCCGAGUGCUUGCACUCAAUUGGAAAGAGGAGUGGCGGACGGGUGAGUAACACGUGGGUAACCUACCCAUCAGAGGGGGAUAACACUUGGAAACAGGUGCUAAUACCGCAUAACAGUUUAUGCCGCAUGGCAUAAGAGUGAAAGGCGCUUUCGGGUGUCGUUGAUGGAUGGACCCGCGGUGCAUUAGCUAGUAGGUGAGGUAACGGCUCACCAAGGCCACGAUGCAUAGCCGACCUGAGAGGGUGAUCGGCCACACUGGGACUGAGACACGGCCCAGACUCCUACGGGAGGCAGCAGUAGGGAAUCUUCGGCAAUGGACGAAAGUCUGACCGAGCAACGCCGCGUGAGUGAAGAAGGUUUUCGGAUCGUAAAACUCUGUUGUUAGAGAAGAACAAGGACGUUAGUAACUGAACGUCCCCUGACGGUAUCUAACCAGAAAGCCACGGCUAACUACGUG
rnacentral:rRNA from 1 species